rnacentral:rRNA from 1 species
CAGUAGCCGCGGUAAUACGUAGGUGGCAAGCGUUAUCCGGAAUUAUUGGGCGUAAAGCGUGCGUAGGCGGUGAGUUAAGUCUGCUGUGAAAUCCCCGGGCUCAACCUGGGAAUGGCAGUGGAUACUGGCUCGCUAGAGUGUGUCAGAGGAUGGUGGAAUUCCCGGUGUAGCGGUGAAAUGCGUAGAGAUCGGGAGGAACAUCAGUGGCGAAGGCGGCCAUCUGGGACAACACUGACGCUGAGGCACGAAAGCGUGGGGAGCAAACAGGAUUAGAUACCCCCGUAGUCCCUGUCUCUUAUAC